AACGGCCGUACCAUGCUGAAUAUACCGGUUCUCGUUAGAUCAUGGAAGUUAAGCAUCAUUGGGCGCGGUCAGUACUUGGGUGGGUGACCACCUGGGAACACUGCGUGCCGUCG
rnacentral:rRNA from 1 species